rnacentral:rRNA from 1 species
UGGGUUUGUAAACUGCUUUUGUCAGGGGAAAUAAAACCCCCUCCUACGAAGUAGGGGGGCUGAAUGUACCUGAAAGAAUAAGGAUCGGCUAACUCCGUGCCAGCAGCCGCGGUAAUACGGAGGAUCCCGAGCGUUAUCCGGAUUUAUUGGGUUUAAAGGGUGCGUAGGCGGCUCAUUAAGUCAGGGGUGAAAUACGGCAGCUCAACUGUCCGCAGUGCCUUUGAUACUGAUGAGCUUGAAUGCGGUUGAAGACGGCGGAAUGAGACAAGUAGCGGUGAAAUGCAUAGAUAUGUCUCAGAACACCGAUUGCGAAGGCAGCUGUCUAAGCCGUUAUUGACGCUGAUGCACGAAAGCGUGGGGAUCGAACAGGAUUAGAUACCCUGGUAGUCCACGCCCUAAACGAUGAUAACUCGAUGUUUGCAAUAUACCGUAAGCGUCCAAGCGAAAGCGUUAAGUUAUCCACCUGGGGAGUACGCCCGCAAGGGUGAAACUCAAAGGAAUUGACGGGGGCCCGCACAAGCGGAGGAGCAUGUGGUUUAAUUCGAUGAUACGCGAGGAACCUUACCCGGGCUUGAAAGUUACUGAAGCAUCCAGAGACGGAUGCGUCCUUCGGGACAGGAAACUAGGUGCUGCAUGGCUGUCGUCAGCUCGUGCCGUGAGGUGUUGGGUUAAGUCCCGCAACGAGCGCAACCCCUAUGUUUAGUUGCCAGCACGUUAAGGUGGGGACUCUAAACAGACUGCCUGCGCAAGCAGAGAGGAAGGCGGGGACGACGUCAAGUCAUCAUGGCCCUUACGUCCGGGGCUACACACGUGCUACAAUGGAUGGUACAGCGGGCAGCUACACAGCAAUGUGAUGCCAAUCUCGAAAAGCCAUUCACAGUUCGGAUCGGGGUCUGCAACUCGACCCCGUGAAGUUGGAUUCGCUAGUAAUCGCGUAUCAGCAAUGACGCGGUGAAUACGUUCCCGGGCCUUGUACACACACGCCCGUCAAGCCAUGAAAGCUGGGGGUACCUAAAGCAUGUAACCGCAAGGAGCGG